AUAAUUUCGUAAAAAUAAUUUAAGUUCAAUAAUAAUAAUUUCAUUUCAGUAAAAAUAAUUUCAGUUAACUAAAAAUAAGGUGGAGUGAACGGGAUCUUAUCAGACGCUUAACCCCUUUUAUUAUCCCCCAAUUUAUAUGUAAAAAAAAAAAAAAAAAAAAAAAGGAACCUCAAAAUCAGAAACCUUGUUUGCUGAAGAUUCAAAACCGUUCCAACGAUCCUUAAUUCCAAGAUUCAGCCAACGCUUGCAAGAUGAGUUCUUCGACAACAUUUCAAGAAAAUAAUGAAGAAAUUGGAGACACAAGGGAUAUUGAUAACAUCACAUAAGGAUAUUAUCAUGAGGAAGGACUUAUUGAUCAAGAUCUUGAACUUGAAGAUGCAUGUUCGCAUAGUGAACCACUGAACGGUGAGGAACUCAUGAAUGUAGCGGAGGAAGAGGAACUUAACAUGUCAGCACUCAGCAGGAUGAGAUAAAGAAAUUCAAGGAGCAAAGAGAUCAAGGUCCUAAUGAGAAAACAGGUGAGAAAAUUAUUCAGGAUGUGCUUGGCAAAGAUACAUGGGUAUUUGUGAGCUUAUGGACCUGGUAGAAGUAUUACACAACAUUUCAAAGUAUAGCCUUCGCGAUUAGAUCUUUCUAAAGAAAGCAUAUCAAGCAAUUGAAGAAGCACGAAAAGAUGUUGCAAUGCUAGAACAUAAGCUGAACAAGACAAAAAAGAAGUGAAAUCAGUUAGGAAUGACAUGGAUAAAAAUAUCGCAAAGAGCAACGCUGUUUGGGAUAAAAAAAUCAGUCAACUUCUUAACUUUAUUGGAGCAGGGGGGGUUCCUCGAAUAAUAAUGAUUCAGGAAAUGAAGGUUCAUCCAGAUGAAUUAAGUACAUUCAUGAUUCUUAUGUUUGCAAUUUAAUUCACUCUGUAUAUUUCUGCUCUUUUUUUUCCUUAAUAAAAUGGUGAGAAUGAAGAGGUAAUUAUAGGGUCAGGGAAAAAGUGCAGGGUGGGGGAAAGUGCAGGGAGGGGGCAGAUGUAGGGAUGGGGGAAGAUACAGGAGAAGGGAGCAGGUUGCAGGGAGAGGAAAAGAGAUGAACUAUAAUUGGACUAUGCUUGGGAAGGGGGCAGGUUGCAGGGGGGGUAACAAUAUAUGUGUCUGCUGUAUUACAAAUCUAGAGGUUAAUUCUCUGAGAUUUUCAUAUUAUGUUAGAAACUGGAAACUAGCUAACUGAAUACAGGCCCUCCCCAUCAUCUGCAUUACAUGCAAAUGUUCAAACUCUGACAAUUCCUUUUCGGCGGACUUUUGAUACCCAAUUACUUAAUCCAAUUCCCCAUUUAAUUUCUCUGUUACUUCCACAAUCCUCCUGUAUGCCCUUUGCAGACUUUCAUUCUUCUCAGCUUCCUUACUUACAGAAUUACAGUAAACUUUCCUAGCAAAAUCUCUGCCAUCACAACUUAAAACUACUGGUUCAUGCUCCUUGCUGUACUUUCUUUAAUACUUGAUUUGCAAUUAACUUCUUUAACACUUCCUGCAUUGUCCAAUGGACAGUUUGAUUAAUCUUAAUUUAGUGCUGACCAACUUAGGGGAAUGCAAGUGUGUAUAUUGUUGGUGCAAUGAUUUGUUGAAUCUUUGAGUUUUUUGGGCUUCAUAUUGCAUUUUUAUGAUCAAUUUCCACUGGAAUUUCUUUAGGGUUGUUGUACUGUUGUAGUAUACUAUAUCAAAGUUGUUUAUAGUCAUACUAUGCUGAGUGUGCUUUUAUCACUUAUCAAUUGGUGAUGGUUGAUUUUUCUGUGAAUCUGCACUUCAGAGUGGGAAAUAUAAGCAUUCAAAGUUGAUAAUAUCUUGAAAAGCCAAUAUUGCACUUCAGCAUCUCUCUCCUCAAUUUUUCAGACUCCAGGCAAACCUGCCCCGGAAUUACAUGUAUCCUGACCCAAUUUCAGAAUUCGCAAAAGCUAUAAUAAUAACAUUGCACAAAUUAUUGCUUUAAUUAUAUUUUAUCUUAUUUUUUUGCUCUUUUUUUAUUCUUCUGUUUUUUUUCUUGGGAUUUUGCAGGGAACCCAGAAGUUCAAAAUUGAAUUAAAGAAGACAUUGUUGAAAGAUGAAGAUGCAUUUGGGGACGAACUCAACGGGUUGUCGAUGUUUGCGCCAAGUGUGCUGGUCAGAGAAAGCAAAGUGUUUUAGAUGCUCCAGGAUUAGCCAUUAAGUUGGGUGCUGCUACUGCUAGUUGCCGGAACACUGCUACUGCUUUCUGCUGCUACUCCAAUUGUAGUGUGUACUCAAAUUGACUAAUUGUAUUUUUUUUUUUUUCUUUUCAUUUUAUUAGAUUGAAAAGUGUAAAAUUACAAGUUAUUAAAGAAAUUACGACGUAUCUAAGUUUUAUGUGUAUAUAUAUACUAUGUCUGUUGAUCAUUUGGGAUGAAAGUGUAAAUUUACAAGCUAUUAACGAAAAUGUUUUUAAGUUUUUUUGUGUA